CCCAAAGUUCCAAAGCGAGGCAGGGGUCGAGCUGGUGCUCUAACCAGGCCUUAUGAUGCCGACUAAGCCCUGUGGCACACCGUCCUCGCUGCUGUUCCUUGGAGGUGGAGUUUAGGUCUCUGAUCAGGAAUACAGUGUCACAAACUAAGGGCUCCAUGGUUUUCUUCUCCAUGUUACCGGUGAAGAAACUGAGGCCCCGAAAGUCAUUUGGUUAAAUAGUUAUAGAGGUGACUUUUCAACAAGUAACACCGAGGACUUGAAGCCAUCCCUCUCUGCGCUGCAUGACAGAUACAGGUGACCCUCACACAACCUGAACCAAUAAAAUGGGCAAUUCCACAGAAGAGUGAAGCCUUCUUCCAGAAUAGAGGCCCUGAGCUCCUUCUUCAUGCCAGGUAAUGAGACCGGGUGCUAGACUAGGUCCUUCGGCCAAGGAACCGACAAUCUACUGGGGUCAAGGGGGUGACGUACACCUGUACACAGAGAAGCGAACAAGCACGAGACAGGAAGAAAAUACUAGCAGUGAGGAGAACCAGAGGUGUCACGUGAGCUGAACCUAGAAGGAAGAUAGAAACUCAUAGGUCUGCUGCGUUCAGAUUGGACACUUCAUCAGAGCCUGUGUGUGUUGUGUGACCUUUUGUCUUCUAUUCAGGACCUAGGCGGAGAGGCGCUGCUUGGCUUUGGAAGCCCUGACUUUGGGAGCCACCUCUCCCGGGCUGAGAGAUUGUUGCCCGCAGCUCCACGGGAAGGGCCUGAAGGACCCUGGGCGGCGGAGCAAGGCCGGGCGUCUGAAGCGCCCUGAAAUUCGAAUGGAGAGGUCCUCGGGAGGGAGUUCUAAAUGAGGGUGCUGAAAACGGUGAUGGCGCUCAAUAAAAGCUUUGACAACUGAUGGCUACUGGGGGGAAGGGGAGGAGCGGCGGCUGCUGGAAGACAUUGCUCCGGCGUGCUUGGGCCCCGAGGAGGGCAUUCUCGGGAGCUAGAAUCCUGCCCCGGAGGAUCCGCGCCCCACGGCUGGCCAACGGAGUCUCUGAGAGUCCUCGUGCUCAACCUCCCUCCCCCCCCCCCCCCAGCUCUGAAGGCAAGCUUUCGUGCCCCUUACGAUCAAUUCCCGUCCUAUUAAGUCCGGUCAAAGAAUGAAUGAACAAACUUCCUAGUGUGGAGACGGGACAUCCCCCGGAGCUCAGGCAAGUGGCUUGGGGUCAUUAUGAACCAAGUCCGAAGUUCAAAGCCCCGGAUUUAGCGACUCAAACAAUUGG
rnacentral:lncRNA from 1 species